rnacentral:rRNA from 1 species
CCUACGGGAGGCAGCAGUGGGGGAUAUUGCGCAAUGGGCGAAAGCCUGACGCAGCGACGCCGCGUGAGGGAUGAAGGUCUUCGGAUCGUAAACCUCUGUCAGCAGGGAAGAACGGUCACUGUGCUAAUCAGCAGUGAAUUGACGGUACCUGCAAAGGAAGCACCGGCUAACUCCGUGCCAGCAGCCGCGGUAAUACGGAGGGUGCGAGCGUUAAUCGGAAUUACUGGGCGUAAAGCGCUCGUAGGCGGUAUGUCAAGUCAAGGGUGAAAUCCCCGCGCUCAACGUGGGAACUGCUGUUGAAACUGGCAAACUGGAGUGUAGGAGAGGAUAGGGGAAUUCCAGGUGUAGGAGUGAAAUGCGUAGAUAUCUGGAGGAACAUCAGUGGCGAAGGCGACUAUCUGGCACAUAACUGACGCUGAGGAGCGAAAGCGUGGGUAGCAAACAGGAUUAGAUACCCGAGUAGUC